GGUAAAAUGGCUGAAUUAGGCGAUAAACUGUAAAUUUAUUUAUGAUUUUAUAAUUUCCUUUAUCA
rnacentral:tRNA from 1 species